UACGUAGGGGGCGAGCGUUGUCCGGAUUUAUUGGGCGUAAAGAGCGUGUAGGCGGUUCGGUAAGUCUGUCGUGAAAUCCUGAGGCUCAACCUCGGGCGGGCGAUGGAUACUGCCGGGCUAGAGGAUGGUAGAGGCGAGUGGAAUUCCCGGUGUAGCGGUGAAAUGCGCAGAUAUCGGGAGGAACACCAGUAGCGAAGGCGGCUCGCUGGGCCAUUCCUGACGCUGAGACGCGAAAGCUAGGGGAGCGAACAGG
rnacentral:rRNA from 1 species